rnacentral:tRNA from 1 species
AUUUAAAUAGCUUAUAAAUAGAGCAUAAUAUUGAAGAUAUUAAGGAGAUACUUUUAUCUUUAGAUA